CCUGAACGCUGGCGGCGUGGCUAAGACAUGCAAGUCGUACGGAUGUAGCAAUACAUCAGUGGCGAACGGGAGAGUAAUGAAUCGCUAAUGUGCCCCGGACUCUGGGAUAGCUAGCCGAAAGGUUAGGUAAUACCAGAUGAUAUACCUUUAUCGCAUGAUAGAGGUCUCAAAGGUCCGCCGGUCUGGGAGCAGGCGAUUUCGUAUCAGCUAGUUGGUGAGGUAACGGCUCACCAAGGCGACGACGCGUAGCCGGACUGAGAGGUUGGCCGGCCUCAUUGGGACUGAGACACGGCCCAGACUCCUACGGGAGGCAGCAGUGGGGAAUAUUGGACAAUGGGCGCAAGCCUGAUCCAGCAAAUGCCGCGUGAGUGAGGAAGGCCUUAGGGUUGUAAAGCUCUUUCACCCGCGACGAUGAUGACGGUAGCGGGAGAAGAACGCCCGGCU
rnacentral:rRNA from 1 species